UACGUAGGGUGCAAGCGUUGUCCGGAAUUAUUGGGCGUAAAGAGCUCGUAGGCGGUCUGUCACGUCGGCUGCGAAAACCCGAGGCUCAACCUCGGGCCUGCAGUCGAUACGGGCAGACUAGAGUUCGGUAGGGGAGACUGGAAUUCCUGGUGUAGCGGUGGAAUGCGCAGAUAUCAGGAAGAACACCGGUGGCGAAGGCGGGUCUCUGGGCCGUUACUGACGCUGAGGAGCGAAAGCGUGGGGAGCGAACAGG
rnacentral:rRNA from 1 species